rnacentral:rRNA from 1 species
UGGGGAAUUUUGGACAAUGGGCGAAAGCCUGAUCCAGCAAUGCCGCGUGUGUGAAGAAGGCCUUCGGGUUGUAAAGCACUUUUGUCCGGAAAGAAAUCCUUGGCUCUAAUACAGUCGGGGGAUGACGGUACCGGAAGAAUAAGCACCGGCUAACUACGUGCCAGCAGCCGCGGUAAUACGUAGGGUGCAAGCGUUAAUCGGAAUUACUGGGCGUAAAGCGUGCGCAGGCGGUUUGCUAAGACCGAUGUGAAAUCCCCGGGCUCAACCUGGGAACUGCAUUGGUGACUGGCAGGCUAGAGUAUGGCAGAGGGGGGUAGAAUUCCACGUGUAGCAGUGAAAUGCGUAGAGAUGUGGAGGAAUACCGAUGGCGAAGGCAGCCCCCUGGGCCAAUACUGACGCUCAUACACGAAAGCGUGGGGAGCAAACAGGAUUAGAUACCCUGGUAGUCCACGCCCUAAACGAUGUCAACUAGUUGUUGGGGAUUCAUUUCCUUAGUAACGUAGCUAACGCGUGAAGUUGACCGCCUGGGGAGUACGGUCGCAAGAUUAAAACUUAAAGGAAUUGACGGGGU